GGGGAUAUAGCUCAGUUGGUAGAGUACUUGCCUUGCAUGCACAAGGCCCUGGGUUCAGUCCCCAGCACCACCA
rnacentral:tRNA from 1 species